UGAGAAACCUGUCCCGAUCUCUGGAAUAACAGUCGGAAACGACUGCUAAUACCGGAUGCCGUCGGAGCGUCGCAUGGCGCGCUGACGAAAGGACUACCGGAUCGGGAGGGUCUCGCGGCCUAUCAGCUUGUUGGUGAGGUAACGGCUCACCAAGGCAUCGACGGGUAGCUGGUCUGAGAGGAUGAUCAGCCACACUGGAACUGAGACACGGCACGA
rnacentral:rRNA from 1 species